GACGACAUAGUUCAGUGGUAGAGCACAUGCUUAGCAUGCAUGAGUUCCUGAGUUCAACCCCCAGUACUUCCA
rnacentral:tRNA from 1 species